UACCCGGGUAGUCCACGCCGUAAACGAUGGAUACUAGCUGUUUGGGGUAUCGACCCCCUGAGUAGCGAAGCUAACGCGUUAAGUAUCCCGCCUGUGGAGUACGAUCGCAAGAUUAAAAUAUAAAGGAAUUGACGGGGACCCGCACAAGCGGUGGAUUAUGUUCUUUAAUUCGAUGAUAACCGAAGAACCUUACCAGGGCUUGACAUCCAGGGAAGGUCUGCGAAAGUAGACUGUGCCUUUUGGAACCCUGUGACAGGUGAUGCAUGGCCGUCGUCAGCUCGUGUCGUGAGAUGUUAGGUUAAGUCCUUCAACGAGCGCAACCCUUGUGAAUAGUUGUAUUUUUCUAUUCAGACUGCCCCGGUAACGGGGAGGAAGGAGGGGAUGAUGUCAGGUCAGUAUUUCCCUUACGUCCUGGGCUAGAAACGUAAUACAAUGGCUAGUACAAUGCGCAGCGAAGCCGCGAGGUGAAGCAAAUCGCAUCAAAGCUAGUCCCAGUUCGGAUUGUAGGCUGAAACUCGCCUGCAUGAAGUCGGAAUCGCUAGUAAUCGCAAAUCAGCAAGUUGCGGUGAAUACGUUCCUGGGUCUUGUACACACCGCCCGUCAAACCAUGAAAGUGACCAACACCCGAAGUCCGAUUCGUCGGCCUAAGGUGGGGGGCAUGAUUGGGGUUAAGUCGUAACAAG
rnacentral:rRNA from 1 species